rnacentral:rRNA from 1 species
CAGUCGCCACGGUAAUACGAAGGGGGCUAGCGUUGCUCGGAAUCACUGGGCGUAAAGGGUGCGUAGGCGGGUCUUUAAGUCAGAGGUGAAAUCCUGGAGCUCAACUCCAGAACUGCCUUUGAUACUGAGGAUCUUGAGUUCGGGAGAGGUGAGUGGAACUGCGAGUGUAGAGGUGAAAUUCGUAGAUAUUCGCAAGAACACCAGUGGCGAAGGCGGCUCACUGGCCCGAUACUGACGCUGAGGCACGAAGCGUGGGGAGCAAACAGGAUUAGAUACCCCCGUAGUCCCUGUCUCUUAUACC